AUACUUACCUGGACGGGGUCAACAGCCGAUCAAGAAAGGUUGUGGCCUCGAUUAAUGACUCACAUUGCACUUGGUGAGUGCUUUGGUCUACCAUCUCCCCAAGUGGGAGAGUGGACGUCAUAAGGGAGAGUGGACGUCAUAAUUUGUGAUAGAGGGGGUACGCGUCCGCACGGCCCCUGC
rnacentral:snRNA from 1 species